CCUGGUGUUUCAGAUGAUAAAGAAUCUGCCUGCAAUGCAGGAGACCCAGGUUCAAUCCCUGGGUCAGGA
rnacentral:tRNA from 1 species